GGAGGUGGACCCUCCGGGGUCGCCGUGCAGGCGGAGACCCCAAACCACCGCAAGCUGCGCCGGUCAAGAGCCGGGGUGGUGAGCGUUGCGGCCAAAGUCCUGCUGACAGCAGGGCAGGU
rfam:Acidobacteria bacterium RBG_16_64_8 RBG_16_scaffold_76531, whole genome shotgun sequence.